AGUGAACGCUGGCGGUAGGCCUAACACAUGCAAGUCGAAUGGCAGCACAGUAAGAGCUUGCUCUUACGGGUGGCGAGUGGCGGACGGGUGAGGAAUACAUCGGAAUCUACUUUUUCGUGGGGGAUAACGUAGGGAAACUUACGCUAAUACCGCAUACGACCUACGGGUGAAAGCAGGGGAUCUUCGGACCUUGCGCGAUUGAAUGAGCCGAUGUCGGAUUAGCUAGUUGGCGGGGUAAAGGCCCACCAAGGCGACGAUCCGUAGCUGGUCUGAGAGGAUGAUCAGCCACACUGGAACUGAGACACGGUCCAGACUCCUACGGGAGGCAGCAGUGGGGAAUAUUGGACAAUGGGCGCAAGCCUGAUCCAGCCAUACCGCGUGGGUGAAGAAGGCCUUCGGGUUGUAAAGCCCUUUUGUUGGGAAAGAAAAGCAGCAGGUUAAUACCCCGCUGUUCUGACGGUACCCAAAGAAUAAGCGCCGGCUAACUUCGUG
rnacentral:rRNA from 1 species